rnacentral:rRNA from 1 species
AUGCUUCAGGGCAAUAACAUCUCUGGUGAAAUACCGAGGCGAAUAGGAAGACUAGAGAGUCUAGUGGGUCUGAGCUUGUCAAACAACCACCUGUCCGGUCCCAUACCCAAUGAAGUAGGCUACCUAAAGGAGAUGACCAUGUUAGAUUUUUCCAGCAACAACCUCACAGGGCCCGUUCCAAUAAAUCUAGGAAGUUGCACUAAACUCACUAUCUUGUACCUUGAUGGUAACCAGUUAUCCGGAUUACUUCCUCGAGAACUAGGUUACCUAGUGAGAUUACAAGAAUUAGCUCUUAGCAGCAACAAACUCAUGGGUUCCAUCCCCGAUACGCUUGGGAGUUUGAUUAACCUCAUUGGAUUGUACCUAUGGGAUAACCAACUCUCCGGACAUGUUCCUCGAGAACUAGGUUCCCUCGCGAGUCUAGAAAAAUUGGAUUUUAGUGGAAACAAACUCAUGGGCCCCAUCCCCAAUACCUUUGGAAAUUUGACCAGGCUCACUACCUUGUACCUCGACGAUAAUCAGUUCUGCGGACAUGUUCCAGAGGAAAUUGGCACCUUAAUGGAUCUCAAAUAUCUACAACUUGAUGGUAACAAUCUCUCUGGUCCAUUGCCACCUGAGUUGUGUGCUGGAGGCAUGCUCAAGAGACUAACCGCAUUUGGCAACAAUCUCAAGGGACCUCUACCAUUAAGUUUACUGAACUGCAAAAGCCUAGUUAGAGUUCGCCUUGAAAGUAAUCAAAUAGAAGAAGAUAUUUCUGAGAUGGGAGUUUAUCCAAAUCUGGUCUACAUGGAUAUGAGCUCAAAUAAAUUGUUUGGUCAAUUAUCUUAUCACUGGGGAGGAUGUCAUAAUCUUACAAUGCUAAGAAUCUCAAACAACAACCUUAUCGGGGAAAUACCGACAAGUUUGGGGCAACUAUCUCAACUAGGGAUACUUGAUCUUUCGUCAAACAAGCUUGAAGGAGAGAUUCCAAGUGCCCUAGGCAAUCUAAGAGAAUUGUUCAACCUGAGCCUCGCGGAAAAUUUGUUCCAUGGUAGCAUUCCACGGGAAAUUGGAGCAAUGUCGAGUCUGGAAUUACUGGAUUUGUCAUCAAAUAACCUCAAUGGUUUGGCGCAAGACUCAAUCAAGAAUUGUUUGAGGCUUCGCCUUUUGAAGUUGAAUAACAAUAACUUCAAAGGAAACAUCCCCGCCGAGCUAGGGUUAUUGCGCAACCUACAUGACCUGUUGGAUUUAAGUGAAAAUUCAUUUACUGGAGCAAUACCAAGCCAACUUAGUGGUUUGGUCAUGCUAGAUACUCUUAAUCUGUCACACAAUGAACUUAAUGGCUCCAUCCCGUCAUCAUUUCAAAAUAUGAGAAGCUUGACAACCAUUGAUCUAUCUUACAAUGAAUUGGAGGGGCCGGUACCGGAUAGUAAGGUCUUCCAAGGAGCUUCAAUCCAGCAGUUCAUGCAUAAUAAGAUGUUAUGUGAUGUGGUGAAAGGAUUGCCCCCUUGUAGUAGUGCAAUUCAGAGCAGAGGGGAUAGGGAGGGAUACAAAAUACUUGUAUUAGCCACCGUUCCUGCCCUUAUAUCUCUUGUUGUUGUUGCGGUGCUAUUGAUGUUCUGUCAUGAAAGGAAGAAACCCAAGGAAACGAACACUGAUAAAGUAACACAAGCAAUUACCUUCUCUAUUUGGAGUGUUGAUGGGGCAAAUGUUUUCAAGCAAAUCAUUGAAGCAACCAACAAUUUUAGUGAGAUGCACUGCAUAGGAAUUGGGGGAUAUGGAUCUGUCUACAAAGCUAAACUUGCAACACGUGAAAUAUUUGCAGUGAAGAAGAUACAUAUGAUAGAAGAUGAGUGUUGCUUGAAUGAGACGGUAUUCAAUCGUGAAAUCGAGUCACUGAUGAAGAUUCGUCAUCGAAACAUCAUAAAAUUGUUUGGGUAUUGUUCGUCUAGCCAAGGUAGGUUCCUUAUCUAUGAAUACAUGGAGGGAGGAGACCUGGCAAAAACACUGAAGGACGAUAAAAGGGCAAUUGAAUUGGACUGGAGAAGGCGUAUACAUAUUAUGUUGGAUGUGGUUCAUGCAUUGGCAUACAUGCAUCAUGAUUGCUCAUCACCAAUAGUCCAUCGAGAUAUAACGAGCAACAACAUUUUGCUUGAUCUAGAAUUUAGAGCAUGCAUAUCUGACUUCGGUACGGCUAAAGUUCUCAAUAUUUACGGCCGAAAUCACACAAGGCUUGCUGGGACGAAAGGCUAUCUUGCCCCAGAGCUAGCAUAUACAGAAAAUGUGACGGAGAAAUGUGAUGUAUACAGCUUCGGAGUGCUUGUUUUGGAGCUAUUUAUGGGAUCUCAUCCAGGCGAUUUUCUCUCAUCCCUCUCGUUGGCCAACAAGAUCAAUGUUGUGUGCCUACAGGAUUUGCUGGACCCCAGGCUCACGGUCCCUAAUGCUGAAACUGCUAGAGGAAUAUAUUGCAUGCUUAGUGUCGCAGCUCAGUGUCUGGAGCCACGUCCAUCACACAGGCCAACAGCACGACAAGCCAGUGAUGAGCUAUCUACGAUUAAAGCUCGUGGAGAUCAUGUUGAUUAUUUGCAUGCUGGUAUUACCUUUCCUGCAUUGUAG